AGAGUUUGAUCAUGGCUCAGGACGAACGCNGGCGGCGUNCCUAAAACAUGCAAGUCGAACGGGGUAGCAAUACCUAGUGGCGAACGGCGGAGUAAUACGUGAACAACGUGCCUUGAAGACUGGGAUANNAGGGGAAACCNUGAGUAAUACCGGAUGUGGCAACGAGGAGACAUCUCCUUGUUACUAAAUGGUUUUUCGCUUUAAGAGCGGUUCACGACCUAUCAGCUAGUUGGUGAGGUAACGGCCCACCAAGGCGACGACGGGUAGGGGGUCUGAGAGGAUGAUCCCCCCGAGUGGGACUGAGACACGGCCCACACACCUACGGGUGGCAGCAGUUGGGAAUCUUGCACAAUGGGGGAAACCCUGAUGCAGCGACGCCGCGUGGAGGACGAAGGGUCUAGGCUCGUAAACUCCUUUUUUCGGGAAAGACUUAGGACGGUACCCGAAGAAUAAGCACCGGCUAACUACGUGCCAGCAGCCGCGGUAAGACGUAGGGUGCAAGCGUUGUCCGGAUUUACUGGGCGUAAAGAGCGCGUAGGCGGUCCAUUAAGUGUGAAGCUAAAUCUCCCGGCUCAACCGGGAAACUAUUUCGCAUACUGAUGGGCUGGAGUGAUGCAGAGGUGGAUAGAAUUCCCGGUGUAACGGUGAAAUGUGUUGAUAUCGGGAGGAAUACCCGUGGCGAAGGCGGUCCACUGGGCAUCAACUGACGCUGAGGCGCGAAAGCGUGGGUAGCAAACAGGAUUAGAUACCCUGGUAGUCCACGCCCUAAACGAUGGAUGCUAGGCGUAGGAGGUAUCGACCCCUCCUGUGCCGCAGCUAACGCACUAAGCAUCCCGCCUGGGGACUACGGCCGCAAGGUUGAAACUCAAAUGAAUUGACGG
rnacentral:rRNA from 1 species